rnacentral:rRNA from 1 species
ACUACGUGUAGUGUAUGCAGUACCUACGAUAGCAUCGCUAAUCCGUGCAGCAGCGCGGUAAUACGGAGGAUGCAAGUGUUAUCCGGAUUUAUUGGGUUUAAAGGGUGCGUAGGUGGUCUAAUAAGUCAGUGGUGAAAUCUCUUUGCUUAACAAGGAAAUUGCCAUUGAAACUGUUAGACUUGAGAAUGGACGAGGUAGGCGGAAUUCGUAGUGUAGCGGUGAAAUGCAUAGAUAUUACGAAGAACUCCAAUAGUGUAGACUGCUUACCAGACCAUAUCUGACACUAAGGCACGAAAGUGUGGGUAUCAAACAGGAUUAGAUACCCUGGUAGUCCACACAGUAAACGAUGAAUACUAACUGUUUGCGAUAUACAGCAAGUGGUCGAGCGAAAGCGUUAAGUAUUCCACCUGGGAAGUAUGCCGGCAACGGUGAAACUCAAAGGAAUUGACGGGGGCCCGCACAAGCGGAGGAACAUGUGGUUUAAUUCGAUAAUACGCGAGGAACCUUACCCGGGCUCGAACGAUAUUUGAAUACAUCCGAAAAGAUGUAGCUAGCAAUAGCAAAUACCGAGGUGCUGCAUGGUUGUCGUCAGCUCGUGCCGUGAGGUGUCGACUUAAGUGUCAUAACGAGCGCAACCCUUACCGAUAGUUACCAUCAGAUAAUGCUGGGGACUCUAUUGGGACUGCCACCGUAAGGUGUGAGGAAGGAGAGGAUGACGUCAAAUCAGCACGGCCCUUAUGUCCGGGGCGACACACGUGUUACAAUGGGAGAAACAAAGGGUCGCUACCUGGCAACAGGAUGCUAAUCUCGAAAAUCUCUCUCAGUUCGGAUUGGAGUCUGCAACUCGACUCCAUGAAGCUGGAUUCGCUAGUAAUCGCACAUCAGCCAUGGUGCGGUGAAUACGUUCCCGGGCCUUGUACACACCGCCCGUCAAGCCAUGGAAGCUGGAAGUACCUGAAGUAUGUAACUGAAAAGAGCGUCCU